UGAGGAAUAUUGGUCAAUGGGCGUAAGCCUGAACCAGCCAUCCCGCGUGAAGGAAGAAUGCGCUAUGCGUUGUAAACUUCUUUUCCAGGGGAAGAAAACCCCCGACGUGUCGGGGCUUGCCGGUACCUUGGGAAUAAGCAUCGGCUAACUCCGUGCCAGCAGCCGCGGUAAUACGGAGGAUGCGAGCGUUAUCCGGAUUCAUUGGGUUUAAAGGGUGCGUAGGCGGACUUAUAAGUCAGUGGUGAAAACCUGCAGCUUAACUGUAGACGUGCCAUUGAUACUGUUAGUCUUGAGUAUGGUCAAGGUAGGCGGAAUGUGUAAUGUAGCGGUGAAAUGCUUAGAUAUUACACAGAACACCGAUUGCGAAGGCAGCUUACUGGGCCAUUACUGACGCUGAUGCACGAAAGCGUGGGGAGCGAACAGG
rnacentral:rRNA from 1 species